GACGAACGCUGGCGGCGUGCUUAACACAUGCAAGUCGAACGGAAAGGCCCUGCUUUUGUGGGGUGCUCGAGUGGCGAACGGGUGAGUAACACGUGAGUAACCUGCCCUUGACUUUGGGAUAACUUCAGGAAACUGGGGCUAAUACCGGAUAGGAGCUCCUGCUGCAUGGUGGGGGUUGGAAAGUUUCGGCGGUUGGGGCUGGACUCGCGGCUUAUCAGCUUGUUGGUGGGGUAGUGGCUUACCAAGGCUUUGACGGGUAGCCGGCCUUAGAGGGUGACCGGCCACAUUGGGACUGAGAUACGGACCAGACUGCUACGGGAGGCAGCAGUGGGGAAUAUUGCACAAUGGGCGGAAGCCUGAUGCAGCAACGCCGCGUGCGGGAUGACGGCCUUCGGGUUGUAAACCGCUUUCGCCUGUGACGAAGCGUGAGUGACGGUAAUGGGUAAAGAAGCACCGGCUAACUACGUG
rnacentral:rRNA from 1 species